CAGAACGAACGCUGGCGGCAGGCCUGAGGCAUGCAGUCGAGCGAUGAGGCUCCUUCGGGAGUACAUCAGCGGCGGACGGGUGAGUAACACGUGGGAACCUGCCCUAUAGUGGGGGAUAACAGUUGGAAACAACUGCUAAUACCGCAUACGCCCUUCGGGGGAAAGAUUUAUCGCUAUAGGAUGGGCCCGCGGCAGAUUAGUUUGUUGGUAGGGUAAUGGCCUACCAAGACUAUGAUCUGUAGCUGGUUUGAGAGGACGAUCAGCCACAUUGGGACUGAGACACGGCCCAGACUCCUACGGGAGGCAGCAGCUAGGAAUAUUGGACAAUGGGGGAAACCCUGAUCCAGCCAUGCCGCGUGAGUGAAGACGGCCUUCGGGUUGUAAAGCUCUUUCGCACGUGACGAUGAUGACGGUAACGUGAGAAGAAGCACCGGCUAACUUCGUGCCAGCAGCCGCGGUAAUACGAAGGGUGCAAGCGUUGUUCGGAUUUACUGGGCGUAAAGCGCAUGUAGGCGGUAUGCCAAGUCAGAGGUGAAAUCCCAGGGCUCAACCCUGGAACUGCCUUUGAUACUGGUAAACUAGAGUUUGAUAGAGGGUAUUGGAAUUCCCAGUGUAGGAGUGAAAUCCGUAGAUAUUGGGAGGAACACCAGUGGCGAAAGCGGAUACCUGGAUCAUAACUGACGCUGAGAUGCGAAAGCGUGGGGAGCAAACAGGAUUAGAUACCCUGGUAGUCCACGCCGUAAACGAUGAGUGCUAGAUGUUGGUAUUUUUAAUAUCAGUGUCACAGCUAACGCGUUAAGCACUCCGCCUGGGGAGUACGGUCGCAAGAUUAAAACUUAAAGGAAUUGACGGGGACCCGCACAAGCGGUGGAGCAUGUUGUUUAAUUCGAUGAUACGCGAAGAACCUUACCCACUCUUGACAUCCCGAUCGCGAUUUUCAGAGAUGAUUAUCUUCAGUUCGGCUGGAUCGGUGACAGACGCUGCAUGGUUGUCGUCAGCUCGUGUCGUGAGAUGUUGGGUUAAGUCCCGCAACGAGCGCAACCCUCGCCAUUAGUUACCAACAGGUUAUGCUGGGGACUCUAAUGGUACUGCCGGUGACAAGCCGGAGGAAGGUGGGGAUGACGUCAAAUCAUCGUGGUUCUUACGAGUGGGGCUACAAACGUGCUACAAUGGCAACUACAGAAAGCAGCCACUUCGCGAGGAGGAGCUAAUCUUUUAAAAGUUGCCUCAGUUCAGAUUGUUCUCUGCAACUCGAGAAUAUGAAGUUGGAAUCGCUAGUAAUCGCAGAUCAUCAAUGCUGCGGUGAAUACG
rnacentral:rRNA from 1 species